rnacentral:lncRNA from 1 species
UCUUGAAUGGAUUGAUCACUGUCCUCCGUAAUGUUCCUUCAAUCGGGAGUAUUUAGAAAUUAACCACUAAUAAUGUAUGUCUCAAAUUUUCAACAUCUUGAGAAUAUACAAAAUUAUCUUUAUUAAUUUUUAGGAUAAAUCAUAGACACAUAUGACAUGAUUGGUCAUAAAGACUGUCCGUCAAGUACAAAAUAUGUCCUAGAGAAAAAUAUGUGUCAGCUA